CCUACGGGCGGCAGCAGUGGGGAAUAUUGCACAAUGGGCGCAAGCCUGAUGCAGCCAUGCCGCGUGUGUGAAGAAGGCCUUCGGGUUGUAAAGCACUUUCAGCGGGGAGGAAGGCGGUGAGGUUAAUAACCUCAUCGAUUGACGUUACCCGCAGAAGAAGCACCGGCUAACUCCGUGCCAGCAGCCGCGGUAAUACGGAGGGUGCAAGCGUUAAUCGGAAUUACUGGGCGUAAAGCGCACGCAGGCGGUCUGUCAAGUCGGGUGUGAAAUCCCCGGGCUCAACCUGGGAACUGCAUUCGAAACUGGCAGGCUAGAGUCUGGUAGAGGGGGGUAGAAUUCCAGGUGUAGCGGUGAAAUGCGUAGAGAUCUGGAGGAAUACCGGUGGCGAAGGCGGCCCCCUGGACAAAGACUGACGCUCAGGUGCGAAAGCGUGGGGAGCAAACAGGAUUAGAUACCCGGGUAGUC
rnacentral:rRNA from 1 species